rnacentral:lncRNA from 1 species
GCACGGGGCCCAUGCUGACCUCUGUGUUGUGCCAGUUAUAGUAUGUGUGCUGCUGACAUGAGUACCGCAUUGCCUUUACAACAUCAUAGGGGCCAAAGAGGGUCAGCAGGAUUGUGAGCAGUUGGCCUAGUCUGAGAGGCUGUCUAAAAGCCAAAAGCUGUCAAUAGACAGGUGCUCAGCUUUGUGUCUCCAUAAGAAGGGAAGGGGAUGUGAGGAUCCCAUCAGGGCUGGGUCCAUCUGGGAUGUGAUAGUUGGAACAUGCCCAGACCUUUCUGAGCAACUCUGGGUGUAAAUUUUCUUCUAUUUCUCAAGAGCUAUUAUGAAUUUCAUCAUCCAGCAUGCUGAUAGAUCUGGGGACUGACACAUAGUAAGUCCAUAACAAUUAUAAAACAAUUUAAAACUAAUAUGUUAUAUAGCAUAAUCUGUACAUUUUAAAAUGCAAAACUAUAAUUCAAUUAAACUAUACAAGACACUCUGUCAUACCAUGUUUUAUAAUUAAGUAGCUUAUAAAGUGAUCAGCAAGUGGCUUAUACAACAAGCAAAUUUGUUCAAAGAGAAGCCUUGCAAAUAAGUAUUUAUAAUUGUAUAGUUUUAUAUUUCAGCCAGAAGAGUGAACUCCUUUAAGCAAUGGGAGAAAUAAAAGAAUGUUUAAUUACAGUUGCAGAUAAUUGUCUUUUCCAAAGGCAAUAUAUGUAGGUAGAAGUCGUACCUGUUAAUAUGAAAAAUCUUGGUUUACCAUAUUUGGAGAACAAGGGAAAUAAAAAGUUUGUAUAUCAAGAUUAUUUAAAACUAAAGUUAAGGAAUCUCUAAUGUCUGAAAGAAAUAAUAAAUAGCAUUUUCUAUGUAGAAUUUUUAUUGGUGAAGGUCCCACCUGGCCAGGUUAGUAAAAUACAGUCACACAUCAAUUAAGGAUGGGGAUACAUUCUGAGAUAUGUAUCAUUAGGCAAUUUUGUCAUUGUGCAAACAUCAUAGAGUGACACGCAAGCCUAGAUGGUACAGCCUACUGUGCACCUGGGCUCUAUGGUAUGGCCUAUUGCUUCUAGGCUACAAACCUGGACAGCAUGUGACUGUACUGACUACUGUAGCCAGUUGUAACACAGUGGUAAACAUUUAUGUAUCGAAACAUAGAAGAGGCAUAGCAAAAAUAGGAUAUGGUGGAACCACCGCCAUAUAUGUGGUCCGUCAUCGACUGAAAGUCAUGCGGCAUGUGGCUGUAUGUAUACACAUAGUUUUUGCUGUGAGUUUGCAUCCAUCUCAUAGGAAGACAUAUGUCACAAUGAGGACCACACUGGAGAGUGUGUAAAUUACUUUUCAAUACUAAUAGCUUAUUCAUUUGAUAUUGUCAGCAAGUAUGUUGCAAAAAUAAAUUCCACCAGAAUGUGAGUUCCCUGAGAGCAGGAACUGGGUUGUUCACCUUGCUGGCACUUGGAGUAAGAGCCACUGAGCUUAGCACUGCAUAAAAUUGCUUGGAAGAAAGAAGGGAGGGCAUUCCAGGUAACUGAAGCAUUGCUAUGCAAAGUAAGCAUUUGCCCUCUAAAAUAUUUUAACAAAUUUUAUAGAAACCUUUCUCAAUUGCAUUGAACUUUAUUAAUUGUAAAAAUUACUCUGUUAUACCUUUCUAUGCUUUCACUAUGCACAGGCAGCCAUAGGUGCUGGGUAUGUUUUGAAAACAUAUUGAACCUACAGUGUACAUAUCAUUCCAUGCCAUUAAAUAUUCUUAUUUAAUCAUA